rnacentral:rRNA from 1 species
CCUACGGGUGGCAGCAGUGGGGAAUAUUGCACAAUGGGGGAAACCCUGAUGCAGCGACGCCGCGUGAGCGAUGAAGUAUUUCGGUAUGUAAAGCUCUAUCAGCAGGGAAGAAAAUGACGGUACCUGACUAAGAAGCCCCGGCUAACUACGUGCCAGCAGCCGCGGUAAAACGUAGGGGGCAAGCGUUAUCCGGAUUUACUGGGUGUAAAGGGAGCGUAGACGGUCGGGCAAGCCUGGUGUGAAAGCCCGGGGCUCAACCCCGGGACUGCAUUGGAAACUGGAAGGCUGGAGUGUAGGAGAGGCAAGUGGAAUUCCUAGUGUAGCGGUGAAAUGCGUAGAUAUUAGGAGGAACACCAGUGGCGAAGGCGGCCUACUGGACGGUAACUGACGUUGAGGCUCGAAAGCGUGGGGAGCAAACAGGAUUAGAUACCCGUGUAGUC